GGAAUUGACGGGACCGCACAAGCGUGGAUGAUGUGGUUAAUUCGAUGCAACGCGAAAACUUACCUACCUUUGACAUGUACGGAAUUCGCCAGAGAUGGCUUAGUGCUCGAAAGAGAACCGUAACACAGGUGCUGCAUGGCUGUCGUCAGCUCGUGUCGUGAGAUGUUGGGUUAAGUCCCGCAACGAGCGCAACCCUUGUCAUUAGUUGCUACAUUUAGUUGGGCACUCUAAUGAGACUGCCGGUGACAAACCGGAGGAAGGUGGGGAUGACGUCAAGUCCUCAUGGCCCUUAUAGGUAGGGCUACACACGUCAUACAAUGGAUGGUACAAAGGGUCGCCAACCCGCGAGGGGGAGCCAAUCCCAUAAAACCAUUCGUAGUCCGGAUCGCAGUCUGCAACUCGACUGCGUGAAGUCGGAAUCGCUAGUAAUCGUGGAUCAGAAUGUCACGGUGAAUACGUUCCCGGGUCUUGU
rnacentral:rRNA from 1 species